rnacentral:rRNA from 1 species
GAUGAACGCUGGCGGCGUGCCUAAUACAUGCAAGUCGAGCGAACGGACGAGAAGCUUGCUUCUCUUAUGUUAGCGGCGGACGGGUGAGUAACACGUGGAUAACCUACCUAUAAGACUGGGAUAACUUCGGGAAACCGGAGCUAAUACCGGAUAAUAUUUUGAACCGCAUGGUUCAAAAGUGAAAGACGGUCUUGCUGUCACUUAUAGAUGGAUCCGCGCUGCAUUAGCUAGUUGGUAAGGUAACGGCUUACCAAGGCAACGAUGCAUAGCCGACCUGAGAGGGUGAUCGGCCACACUGGAACUGAGACACGGUCCAGACUCCUACGGGAGGCAGCAGUAGGGAAUCUUCCGCAAUGGGCGAAAGCCUGACGGAGCAACGCCGCGUGAGUGAUGAAGGUCUUCGGAUCGUAAAACUCUGUUAUUAGGGAAGAACAGAUGUGUAAGUAAAUGUGCACAUCUUGACGGUACCUAAUCAGAAAGCAACGGCUAACUACGUG